UGUGUGUGUCAGUGAGCUUCUAUUUAGUGAGCAUGUGUGUGUCAUUUUGACUUGUAGGAAUGGCAUACAUUUUUUUUCCAGGGCUGCUUUGGAUUCCCAGUUUGGCUCUGCCAGCGAGUGCACUUUACCGCUGAAUAACCUGUGUGAGCUGCCGCACACUUUAGCCCUGUUACACGCGUCUGGGAGCUGCUGUUGACAGGUACAAG